GAGACCGCCCAGACAGCAACAUUACAUCAUGACUCCUGGAUUCUCAUCAUCAAAGGAAAACAGAAACAAUCAAUAAUUGAGGAGUUCAGCCCAUCAGCAAAACAGAAUUUGGAUGCCUAAAGAACUAGUCCUGGGAUGGUUAUGAAAUCUCCAAGAACUGAAGAAGAAAAGAAAAUGAUCAGAGAAAACCUUCAAGUCUCUACAUCCAAAACACCGCUAAAGCAGUGAAAGAAGUUUAAUCAAAAAGGAUAGUGCAUUUCUACAAGCUUUCUCUGCUAAAAGGACUGACUACACAGGGUUCGCUUGUGAGACAGCCCCCGUGAUGCCAAAAGGCAGCAACUUCGAAAAGGCCACGUGGAGAAGACAUUUUCAAAACCACAAAAAGGAAGACCAGAGCCACUUCCCGAUGUACACGAGUGAUCCAAUAAAUCCUGUGGUUCAAAACAAGGAGAAAGAGAAGCUAUUGAGGAACAGCUCCCAGUUUCGCUGUACUACCACGAUUUAAACAGGCUCCUAUAGAUGGUUAUCUGUUAAUACCAGCUCUUGCUAGCUCCAGAUAAAUCUCCAUCAACUAGCAACACGAGGACUGCUGACGUUCCUGCCAUCAGCUGUCUGCGUCAGAAAUAUACCAGCAUAGUGACAGUGUAUGAGGAUGCACAGUCUCUGACUACAAAUCCAUAUUAUCAAUAUUUUCAGCUAGAUGUCUAGAUCAUUUUUCAACAGCAGUAACACUGAAGUUUUUACAUUGAAUACAAUGGGAUCUCAUUGCUGUUUACUUCAACUGGUAGGAAAAAAAAAAUUGGAACCAAUUACUGAGGAUGAGGGCACAGAAAGACAAAGGGAACAGAACGACGCUUGAACAAUACAGUAACCAGAGGGCCCAACGGAGCAGCCCAUACCAGGUGGCUCCAAGGCGCAAGAUGGAUGGUCAGCAAAGCUCACCUAAUCAGACCUCCUGUCUCUUUCCAAAACACUCACGUGCACUUUCAUCUUUCAAGUCACUCUUUCUUUCUUUUCCCCUCCCUUGUUAGGAUAAUUAGUUCAGAACUGCUGGUCCCAACAGCUUCCACUAGUGGGGAAGGGAAGUGAAGACAGAAUGUAAACAGCCAAGUCUUGGAGGCCACAGAUUUAGUCAGAUGAGGCCACUCUCACCCAAGUUCAUAUAUGGAAAGUCUGCUCUCAUAGCUCCCUCCAAAGGUCUACAGCACAGACAGGCCGCCUCCUAAUCCUGGAACCCCCUGCAGAGGUCUGUGAAACACCUGCUUCUCUCUUAAAAUAACAGGUCAGGUGGCCGUGCUUCCAAGAGGAGACCUUCAGGUAAGGUCUUUGGAAAUGUCAAGCUCAUUUACACAGAUUUAUGUGGGUGUGUGUAGAGGUGUGGGUUAUCUCAAAAAGAGAAAAGCAUUCUUAGGCUUUCUUCUUCCCUCUUCAAAGAAGCGAAAAAUAGUUCACUGCCCACUGCAGUGUGGGUGCCUCGGCCCACAGAGUAAAGUGCAUGCGGACACACAGACACAGGGCUUCUAUUUAUAAUUGACUUGCUAGGUCUUUUGAAAACCACAAGGGGCUCAUCCAAGAGCAAAGACUUGCCUGAAAGCAGAAAAUCUAAAAUAGCCGCUGACAGUGUAUGUAUGUCACCAGUCUCACCCCCGAGAAUCAAGAGCCCUCAGACAUUUUUAAUGAGCAAAAAUUUUAAUGAGCCAAGAGAUAGUCUUUAUUUUCCCUGCCUAGAGAAAUCCAAGAGAAGUUCCAGCACCAAUUCUUUUCUAUGAGGAUGAGAAACAUAUAUAUCAGUUGACAUAAUCCGGCAAAAAGUUUACACUUGCCAAACGCAAGUGGAAAGAUAAUAUUUCUAGGGAGUCUAGACAUGCUUGCCGCUGUCAAAUGGCACAGAGCUGGACUGAGGGCUGCCAACUAUGCUGCCCAACAGGUGAGGAUUCUUCGGAGGGAAACAGAUGAGGGGGAGGGGAGGGUUAAUGGUGUCAUAUUGAUUUGUCUGUGAUCACAGCAGAGAAUUUUUUGUUAAAAAACAAACUUUAAAAACCGUGCGAUAGUUCAAUUUACACAAAUUUGCAACACAAACACGUAUUUUAUGACCCUAAAUAAUUUUUAAAGGUCAGUAAUAUCCAAAAAUACAUACUUAACACAUUAAGGAGGUUGUAUCUGUUGGUGCCAGGCUGGGGAUGAGGGGUUAGAGUUGGGAUGAAGGGGUAAAAUGAAAACAAUAUAGGAGAGGAGCUGCUCAUGGACUGAUAAUGAAUUGAGGGGUAUGAGUCAUUCAACUCGCUGCACCUAAGUCCACCAGGAACAAUAAACAAGCACCUGCAGACUAUAGAAGGUGCACUCAUCACUGAUCCUACGGAAAUGGAUGGUCCCGGGUACCAAAGAAUUACUGAC